UAACACUGUCCAGACCUCACUGUCUCCUGAUGCUGAGGACACAGUCAGGUUACAUACAGUAUUAUACAGAUAUGAUGUGUAACACUGUCCAGACUCACUGUCUCCUGAUGCUGAGGACACAGGACAGGUUACAUACAGAUAUACAGUAUUAUACAGAUAUAUGAUGUGAACACUGUCCAGACUCACUGUCUCCUGAUGCUGAGAGAACAGGACAGGUUACAUACAGUAUAUACAGAUAUAUGACGUGUAAACACUGUCCGACUCCGUCCCUCCUGAUGCUGAGGACACAGGACAGGUUACAUACAGUAUUAUAA
rnacentral:lncRNA from 1 species